rnacentral:rRNA from 1 species
CACGUAGGUGGCAAGCGUUGUCCGGAUUUAUUGGGUUUAAAGGGUGCGUAGGCGGUUUUCUAAGUCAGCAGUGAAAUACGGCAGCUCAACUGUCGAGGUGCUGUUGAUACUGGGGAACUUGAGUACUGAUGAGGUAGGCGGAAUGGACGGUGUAGCGGUGAAAUGCUUAGAGAUCGUCCAGAACACCGAUAGCGAAGGCAGCUUACUAAGGAGUAACUGACGCUGAGGCACGAAAGUGUGGGGAUCAAACAGG